UGAAACCUUAGCCGCCACCCCUCUCCUUCCCUCUAUCCUACGUCAUCUAUGCCGAAAACGGCAAAGAAAGGAAGGGCUCGCUUUGGUUUUGGACCAUGCAUGGUCGAGAAUAGCAAGAGCAUUAAUUGCUCAGCCAUUUCUCGCCUUCUUUCCACCAAACUCAACCCAAAUGAGUGUUGGGAUUAAGGAGCAAGGAGAUCUAUCCAAGUUCAAUCUCGAUUAUUGCUGCAAAAGAGAAAGGUAAAUAAUCUUCCUUUUUCCCUUUUUAUUUUGCAUUUUUACUCUCAUAUCAUGUUUAUGUUUUUUUUUUCUUAGCUCAGAGAAUGUUUUGUGUUAGUUGUUAGAUUAUGUGAUUUAUUUUUUCCCAUAGAUAGUUUAGUUUAGUCUAGUUAUUUGAUUUUUUGCCUGGUCAUGGACUAGUAUUAAUUGAUCACCAGUUUGGUAUGAUCAUGUUUUGUUAUUAGCCUAACGUUUAUUAAAUAUACUUUAGAUUUCAACUAAAUUCUAUUGCUUUAUCAUCUUACUCUGCUUGCCCAGUUUAAAUACACACUUAAGAUCAUGUGAAGUAACUGCUUGAUGGGUUAAUGUUUUGUUUGAACACUAAGUGGUUAUUAAGUUGUGUACUCCAAUUUAGGCUAAGUUAAUAUUGUCUAAUUGUUGGUAUAAUAUGACUGAACCUUUUCACUUAGCUUAAGAUUAUAAGAAAGCACAUGUGAAUCAAUUUGAUUAUGUCAAGGUAUAGGCAGUGAAGCUGAUAGAAAUAGGGAUUUAAAAAGAGUUUAGAUUUAG